GAUACCCCCUCUGCUUUACUUUUUUUUUUUUUGAAAAAUCCUCUGCUUUACCUGGGCUUCUGCUUGGGCCUGCGCCCGGAAGAACCACAGUAGAAGAGCGCCCUCCCGUGCCGCUCGUCGACGGUGAAGUGUCACCCGAGAACUGUGUGACGCCUGGGCUCUCCGGCUGCCCCGGAAGUUGGGCCAUCUUAUCUGCCUCCUGCUCUUCGCCUGUGCUGCUGGCCGGCAGCGAGCAGGCGAUGGCACGGAGGAGGAGGAGAGCGAAGACGAGCCUCGCUGCCAUUGAUCUUGCCAUGUGGCUGAAGAGAGGAGAGGGUUUGGAUCCACGAUUUACUUUUUGCAGAUAUCAAUUUUGCUUGGUUCCCUUUAGGAAUUGCUACAUGACAUGAUGUUGUAUUCUCAGGUUUUACUCUGAUUUGUUUGCUAGGUGCUCGAUGAAAUUCCCACCCAAGGAGUUUUUGUUCUGUUUGCCAGGGGUGCAAGGUGGAAUUGAUUUGAAAAAGAUGCACUUUCCAGCCUUUUUUACGUUAUAUAUGUUUGGUUGGAUGUUAUUUAUACCGGUUUAUUUCAUAGACUAGAACUAGAAUGGGGAUUAUAUCUUUAGGACCAUUGAGUAUUCACUUCACAAUAGGUACUCCUAGUAAACUAAUAAAGGGUAAAUGCUGGUUUUCCUGGCAUUUGACAUGCAAGGAAAAUUCUUACUAUGUGUGCAAAAUGACUGGAUAUUCCAAAUUUAGCGUUUCAUAGUGACAUCCUGUCAUCAUGAAGUGUCCAUCAUGUUUUUUCUGUUUUCUUUUUCUCGAACCGCACCAAGUGUGUGUCAUUUUCAUUACAAAGCAGAUAUUCCAAAUUCUUACUAUGUGUGCAAAAGCAAGGCAAAACAAGAAGGCUGAAAACAAGAAAAGAGACAACUGUACGCUAGCUAAUUAGCAAGUAGUCAGGAGGCCUGCAAUGAUGCGGCAGCCUACGAAGGUCCUUCGCACCAGCGACCAUCCAAAGCCGGAUCUCCGUGAAGAUCUCAGUUCAACAAGUGAUGAGAUGUCGAGAGAGGUGGCAUUGAAAACACAGUCAUCGCGGAGUUUCCACAAGUGCCACAAGGUCAGGAUGAUAAGGGAGCGGGUGCAUUUGACCUUGGAAGAGCUGGUGCUCCGCCGCCUCCGCAAACCAGGAACGGAAAGAGUCCCCUGGUUGCGGGCAGAGCUGCUGAAGGUCAAAGCAUGAGAGCACCUGAUGUCAAACAUCGCUUUUUUCUGUUAUUUCAUUAUAGUCUUUAUCCAGUCAGCAUGUUAGAACAAGCUUAUGUUUUCUUCUCUUUGUCUUUCGCCUCAUCUUUUUGUCUUAACAACCAUGAUUCAAAAAUUAAGCUAUGCUGUCAGCCUACGUGAUUCUUUGAAACUGAAAAGAAAACAUUUGCAAAUCCUCCUAGUACACUUUAUUGCCCAUUGCUGGUUUUGAGAGCAAGAAGAACAUUUACUUCCAGUAAAUAGAAAUGAACUUUGCUGGCAUUUUGUUGAACUUGCUGGGAGCUUUACUUGUGAUCGUGGGUGCUUAAUUUUUUUUAAUUUUGCAGGAGUAUUAGGAGAUGUUCAAAGGAGGAAUGGAAGUACAGAAUGAACUAUCCACAAAGAUGGCGCCUUCAUUAUGCAUAUAAAAUUGAGGAAGUGACAAAAUCGCAAGUUAAUAUUCUUGCGUCCUUUUCUUGAUCUUGAUCCACCCGUCCUGUUUCGAUCAUUCAGUUAAAUGCAUGCAAGUUGAGAAAGCAAGGACCUGCAAUCACCUUAUCCAAACGACAGACCAGAUAAACCUGGCGACCUCACGUCCAAGUGAACGCCAUGGACGACAGCCAGCCAGAGCAGUACGUCCGUCGCAUCAUAUGAGGCCAUGGGAAGACCAAGUAGAUGCAUUUGGCUGCACGUACGUCUGCAUGUAUACAUUUCGUUAAUGCUCAUAUGUAUGGUCCUUGAGAUUAAUAAUGUACAUAAACAAGAAGGUGACACCUGACCAAAAUCAGCAAGGGUGGGUGUCCAAAUAUGGUCCUCUUGUAUAAGUGAUGCAUAAUGCACGCUGUGUUAAUUGGAAUGCCAGAUAGAUAGUGUGUGCAAAACUUGGAAUACAAUGUCCUUCUCAGGAAUGACCAUAUGUAUUUUUUGCCAC